AUGAGAAAUCUUCUGUAUCUAGUAAUCACAGCUAUCAAUGAGGAGGAGGUGCUGCAGCUGGAGGGACUUAGUUUACCUCUAACGCUUUACAAACUUGGUGUAGAAGGGCAGCUCGAGAAGACAUCGAUAUCUCAAAUUGUCUCAUAUUGGUCCCCCCUGAAUAACCUCACCUGGUUGCGGCUGCAAUUUUCCAAAAUUGACGAGGAAACGUUUUCCAGUCUAUUGAUGCUACAUGGUUUAUGUCGUCUUGAUCUUAUCAAGCCUUUUGAAGGGAAGAAGCUGCACUUCACUGCGGGAUCUUUUCCAAACCUUCGCUUACUAAACAUAUGGGAUGCACCGCAGCUGAACCAAGUUGAAAUAGAAGAUGGCGCGAUGGCAAGCCUUGCUGAAUUCAGGUUGCAAGUCUGUCCUGAACUGAAGUUUCUUCCUCGUGGUGUUGAGCAUCUUACAGCCCUUGAAGAAUUAUAUCUCAAUGACACAUCAGAAGAACUCAUAGAGAAGCUUCGGCAAAAGAGAGAAGCAAAUGAAUGCAGUGAUGAUCUAACUAAGAUUAGACACAUAAGAAGAGUUACUGUUGUACUAACCAAGAAGGGCUUACAGGAAAGGAUUCGGUGA
rnacentral:rRNA from 1 species